rnacentral:rRNA from 1 species
UGCAGUCGGACGGGAUCCAUUAGAGAGCUUGCUCGAAGAUGGUGAGAGUGGCGCACGGGUGCGUAACGCGUGAGCAACCUACCCAUAUCAGGGGGAUAGCCCGGAGAAAUUCGGAUUAACACCGCAUGACACAGCGAUCUGGCAUCAGAAUGCUGUUAAAUAUUUAUAGGAUAUGGAUGGGCUCGCGUGACAUUAGCUAGUUGGUAAGGUAACGGCUUACCAAGGCAACGAUGUCUAGGGGCUCUGAGAGGAGAAUCCCCCACACUGGUACUGAGACACGGACCAGACUCCUACGGGAGGCAGCAGUAAGGAAUAUUGGUCAAUGGAGGGAACUCUGAACCAGCCAUGCCGCGUGCAGGAUGACUGCCCUAUGGGUUGUAAACUGCUUUUGUCCAGGAAUAAACCUACUUACGUGUAAGUAGCUGAAUGUACUGGAAGAAUAAGGAUCGGCUAACUCCGUGCCAGCAGCCGCGGUAAUACGGAGGAUCCAAGCGUUAUCCGGAAUCAUUGGGUUUAAAGGGUCCGUAGGCGGCCUUAUAAGUCAGUGGUGAAAUCUCCUAGCUCAACUAGGAAACUGCCAUUGAUACUGUAGGGCUUGAAUUAUUGUGAAGUAACUAGAAUAUGUAGUGUAGCGGUGAAAUGCUUAGAUAUUACAUGGAAUACCAAUUGCGAAGGCAGGUUACUAACAAUCGAUUGACGCUGAUGGAC